UCAUCUCUCUGUAAUAAAAUAAACACUCAAAAAAGAGAAGAAGAAGAAGCCAUUGCAGAGAAUUUAUCGAGGAGUUAGCCGGAGAGAAAAAUGUCGACAUCAUCAGUGAACUUGGAAGAUGUUCCCUCCGAGAGCCUCAUGUCGGAGCUUCUCCGCCGCAUGAGGUGUUCCUCCAAGCCGGACAAACGUCUUAUUCUCAUUGGCCCACCUGGAUCAGGGAAAGGAACACAAUCUCCUAUCAUUAAAGAUGAGUAUUGCUUGUGUCAUUUAGCCACGGGGGAUAUGCUGAGAGCUGCUGUUGCUGCCAAAACACCUUUGGGCAUUAAGGCGAAGGAGGCCAUGGAUAAGGGAGAACUUGUUUCUGAUGACUUGGUUGUUGGGAUCAUAGACGAAGCAUUAAAGAAGCCAUCAUGUCAAAAAGGAUUCAUUCUUGACGGGUUUCCUAGAACUGUGGUGCAAGCAGAAAAGCUUGAUGUGAUGCUUCAAAAUCGAGGUACUAAAGUUGAUAAGGUUCUUAAUUUUGCGAUUGAUGAUGCCAUCUUGGAAGAGAGAAUUACCGGACGCUGGAUCCACCCAGCUAGUGGUCGGUCAUACCAUACAAAAUUUGCACCUCCUAAAGUACCUGGGAUAGAUGAUGUCACUGGAGAGCCAUUGAUACAACGAAAAGAUGAUACUGCUGCUGUUCUCAAGUCAAGGCUAGAAGCCUUCCACAGGCAAACUGAGCCGGUCAUUGACUACUAUGCCAAGAAGGGUAAUGUAGUGAAUCUUCCUGCUGAGAAACCACCACAGGCAGUCACAGCUGAAGUCAAGAAAGUUCUCUCCUAAUGGAAGGAUGCCAACUUUUCAUUUUGGUUUAAGGAUUGAAAAUUUAACUAUGAAUUUUGGUUGACCAGUUAUAUUUCUGGUUUCCUUUUUAUGGCACUAGCUGGUUCAACCCUUUAUGAACAUAUCACUAAGUGUUGGUGAAUUUAUUUUACUUUUGACAUUGCUCUUUAGUGAGCUUUUGCAGAGUGCAAUAGGAAUUGACACAAAAUUAUUACUCGUACCAAGUCAGAAUGAAGUUUAACAGAAGAUACCCAUUUUUGAGUUUUGUGGGAGGGUAAUAGA
rnacentral:misc_RNA from 1 species